rnacentral:rRNA from 1 species
UCUUGGCCAUAAAUUUAAUAAAAUUUACCAGAGUACUACGAAUACAAAAUUUAAAACUCAAAGGGCUUGGCGGUGUUUUAGACUCCUCAGGGGAACUUGUCUUAUAAUCGACAGUCCACGUUAAACCUAACCUUUUUUUGUGCGCAGUUUGUAUACCGUCGUCGUCAGGUAACUUCUAAGAAGCCAGAAGUUAGCAAUUUAAAUGUUGUUUAUUAGGACGUCAGAUCAAGGUGCAGCCCAUAAAAAGGAAAAGAUGAGUUACAAUUAUUAAACUUAUAAUGACGGAUAGUUAAUCAAAUGAUUGAUUAUGAAGGCGGACUUGAAAGUAAAAUAAAUUAUAUAAAUAAUUUGAAUAAAGCUCUGAAGCGUGC